UUCACACCAUAUACUCAUAUU
rnacentral:piRNA from 1 species